rnacentral:sRNA from 1 species
UCAAACAGCAAACUACUCUCCUACUUUCAUUCCUUCGAACAAUCCAAGUUCAUACCAAUCCCUCUGCAACCAUGACUCCCUGCAACUGCAACUCUUGCUGCUCCGGCGAAUGCAACUCUUGCAACUGCUCCCAGUGCAAGGUAUGCACCCACAUCUCU